AGUGAGCGCUGGCGGUAGGCCUAACACAUGCAAGUCGAACGGCAGCACAGUAAGAGCUUGCUCUUACGGGUGGCGAGUGGCGGACGGGUGAGGAAUACAUCGGAAUCUACUUUUUCGUGGGGGAUAACGUAGGGAAACUUACGCUAAUACCGCAUACGACCUACGGGUGAAAGCAGGGGAUCUUCGGACCUUGCGCGAUUGAAUGAGCCGAUGUCGGAUUAGCUAGUUGGCGGGGUAAAGGCCCACCAAGGCGACGAUCCGUAGCUGGUCUGAGAGCAUGAUCAGCCACACUGGAACUGAGACACGGUCCAGACUCCUACGGGAGGCAGCAGUGGGGAAUAUUGGACAAUGGGCGCAAGCCUGAUCCAGCCAUACCGCGUGGGUGAAGAAGGCCUUCGGGUUGUAAAGCCCUUUUGUUGGGAAAGAAAAGCAGCAGGUUAAGACCCCGCUGUUCUGACGGUACCCAAAGAAUAAGCACCGGCUAACUGCGU
rnacentral:rRNA from 1 species